GUGGGAAUGGAACAUCCGUGCUGGAGUGCUUGACUAGGAGAACUUCUUGUUCUAUGUCAUAGCUGUUCCAACCUCGGUUAGUCUUUUAUUCUGGAACCUGUGACUCACUGGCUGAGGGGGCGGGAAUGUGAGGACGUUCACAUGCUGACCUUCCUGAAAUGAGGGCUUCCCUGGUGGCUCAGAGGGUAAUCUGCUUGCAAUGCAGGAGACCUGGGUUCGAUCCCUGGGUCAGGAAGAUCCCCUGGAGAAGGAAAUGGCAACAAACUCUGGUACUCCUGCCUGGAAAAACCCAUGGAUGGAGAAGCCUGGUAGGCUACAGUCCAUGGGGUCACAAAGAGCCGGAUAUGACUGAGCGACUUCACUUUCUUUUGCAUUGUCUUAUCCAAGACAUUCUUUUGCAUUGUCUUAACUCCAGUACUUUGGCCACCUCAUGCAAAGAGUUGAC
ensembl:lncRNA